AAACUCAGCAGGGGUUCAGAUAAAAAAUCGGCAGCUGGCAGCAGGAAGUGGCUGCCAUUGACAGCCGGAAGGCAGUAACUGACAGCCGGAAGGCAGUAACUGUCAGCCGGAUGGUAGGCGGGACCUGCCAUUCGGUGGGAGCCAAUCAGUAUCGACCAACGUGGGCGCAACCAAUCAGAUAUAACUGCACCCAAACGCUUCAGUAAUGGUUGCGAUUGAUCAAACGUUGCCAGAUGCUGUCCUGUUGAAAAUUCUUCUUUACGUGAUCCUGGAGGAGGGGUGAUGCUACAUUACUAAAUCCGUCUUUGGUUUGUUCCAAAUUCAGAAGUCUGCUGUACUGUAUACAGACUCCUUUCGAAAGAGGGCACAAUCCAGCUGGCUUGACUGAGUAUCUUCUUUUACAUAUUUGAUUAGAGGUUUAAAAAGGUGGAACAAAAUGGAGAACAAGUCUAAGCCAUGUCAGGAAUUCAACAAAAUGUACACCCUGCAGACACCGCAAUGAGGUUUACAACAACUGCUUACCAGGUCACUGCAGUCACCUGGAUCGAGUACGUAUCCAGACCAGAUGGUGGAUCGCACCUAGAAAGGACCUCUACAGCCCUGAAAGACAGCGGAGACCAGGACAACUAGAGCCCCAGAUACAGAUCCCCUGUAAAGACCUUGUUUUUUUCUCCAUUUUGUCACCGGUGGAGUUUUGGUUCCUUGUCGCCUCUGGCUUGCUUCGUUGUGGUCACUUCAUUUACAGCGAUAUCAUUGACACGAUUGCAAAUGAUUCCACAGAUACUAUCUAAACUGAACCGAGCUGAAGGAUGACAUCACUGAAUUGAAUGAUAAACUGCCUUUUAAACUGACUACAAACUGAGUUUACUAAUGUCCUUCUGCAUUAUUGACUGACACACUAUUUUCCUAUUUAAUAUUGUAAAGUUGCUUUGCUUUGAUCUGUAUUAUUAAAAGCACUAUAUAAAUAAACGAUGCUUGACUUGACCAUGUUGCAAGAGGAAAAUGAGGGGAGAUGCACAUCCACCCUGGGUUUUACAGUGAUUGGUGCAAGAUGCUGGAGAAGUAACUCCGUAUCAGUUCUGAUCUAAGAGUCUUGAAAAUACCUCCGGAUUGUUGUUAGUGAUUCUGAUUGAUAUUUUAGUCUGCUUGCUUACUGGAUAUAUUUUAUACGGUUUACAUUGUAAAGCACUGACUUUGACAACUUACUAACCCAGUUACAAAUUUAACAGCUAUUUUAUACUAUAUAUAUAUAUAUAGUUGUUUCUUGAAAUACUACAAAUAUAACCGCAGAUUAUGAUUUUAAAU